GUGUGAAUUUUAAAAGUCUCCAUCUUGGUCUAGCACCCAAAAAUUGUGCACACCCACACUACACGGGCAUGCGCUAGUCAAUGACAAAUCAGAAAUAACUAACUGCCCACCUGGGCUGUCCUAAGCCAAGCUAGAGCCAACCAUUGGAUUUGUGAGACACAGGAAGUGAGGUAGGGAACAGCCUCUGGAAUUCGCUCACUUCCUGUGGAGAGAGCUAGAGGGGGUUGGUGUUAGGAGCUUGGAGAGGGAGGAUGCCUGCAGACAGCUUUCCUUCAGAUCGGUCACGAACCACUCUCUGAGAAGUGACCUUCUCCUUCAUCUUAACUGCUUUCUGUCAUCUUUCCAUCUUCUGCUCCUGGAACUUGGCUCCACAGAAGAAAAUUCAUCCCUGGCCACCCUCUCCAGGUUGAUAGUCAAAGAAUUCAUCAUCAUGUGAUCAGCCCACUUUUGGUGAACCUUCCUGUUGGCCCUCAGAAAGUAGACACAGGUUGUUGCCAAGGCUAUCCUCAAUUCCUUCAAGCUUGGUAAAAUAUUCCAAAACUUUUUUUCUGCUAGCAGAACCAUGAUCAUCUCGAUGCUACAAUAAGGAACCCCUUGGCCUGUUUCAGCUCAUGGAUCCUUUUGUCAAAAUAAUGUUUUACUUGUAUAAAAUAAAAUAAAUAUGGUUAAACAGGCAAAAAUUACAUUGAAAUAUGAUUAUCAAUUAAAAUAAAAACCUAAAUUAAUUCACCAACUCCAGGUUAAGAACCCUUGCUUUAAGCUGUACAGAAAAUUUUGCCCCUUCCCUAUCAUAGAAUAAAAAUAUAAGAAUGAAAAGGGCAUUAGAAAUCAUCCACCAAACCUCUAAUUUAUAGAAGAUGAAUCCAGGCUCAGAAAUGUUAAGUGAAUUACUAAAGGUCAUAUAGGUAGGAAAUAACA